rnacentral:rRNA from 1 species
GCCUACGGGCGGCAGCAGCCGCGGUAAUACGGAGGAUCCGAGCGUUAUCCGGAUUUAUUGGGUUUAAAGGGUGCGCAGGCGGCAUGUUAAGUCGGCGGUGAAAUUUUGCAGCUCAACUGUAGAAGAGCCUUCGAAACUGGCAAACUUGAGUGUGGAUGAAGUAGGCGGAAUUUGUGGUGUAGCGGUGAAAUGCAUAGAUAUCACAAAGAACACCGAUUGCGCAGGCAGCUUACUAAACCAUAACUGACGCUCAUGCACGAAGGCGUGGGGAUCAAACAGGAUUAGAUACCCUGGUAGUC